UUUUCAAAAGGUUAUGGAUUUAUUUAAUAGGUUAUUCAUUCACAAUAAUGAGGGGAUUUUCUUAUUUAUUUCUUAGAAAAUUACAAACGGGUGCGUACGCGAGCAUUCACACGUAGAUAUUUAAUCGCGGCGGAACAUUCGAAUGACUAAACUGUCGUCAUUUCAAGCGUAAGCGCGUUUCUUCGAUUUAGGUAAAACCCAAAAAACUGGUUUGAUGUUAUUUAUGAUAAUUUUGUACAAGUAUUAAAGCUAAUAAACAUCACUCUUAUGUUUGGUUUCCACUAAUUUAAAAUAAAUACUGUAAUAUUCUUUUGCUUACAAUAAAUAAUAAUUAAUUGUGGCUUACGUGAAUCCAUGACAUCAUUUAUACGAUUUCUUUUUUCUUAAUUAUUCGUUAUUUCAAUCAACAUUUAAGAUAGCUAACUUAUUUCUUAUUAAUUUUAAGUAUAAUAAGUAACAAUAUGAUUCUUUAUGAUUUUUUUACGACAAUUGUGAUCAAUUAUUUCUACCAAUUAACAUUUUCAUGUAACGCAUGAGAAUCAAUCAUAUGUGAUCUUCUAUCGAAACUGUUAUCGAAUUAUAUCGAACGAUCGAUAUAGUUUAACCAUUCACAGGAAAAAUUGGUACACAUAUUAUCGCGCGUGUUUUGCACACGAUAAUGUCUUUUCAAAUCUUCAAUGAUUAUCAUCGAACUAUACAAGUUGUUGGAUUAGGUAAAUUUAUAUUGUAUGUACGUUUACAAAGUAUUGUUACAUUUAACUUUCCAAUGGAAUAUUAUGUGAUUUACUUUCAUAAACGUAUGUAUGAGUUCAAGCAUAUCCCCAAAUCAAUAUGUUAUUAUGCGUCAAUAGUAUUAUACGUAAACUAGUUAGUUUGAUAAGAUAGAAUUAAUUUCCACAAUUAAAAGUAUACUAUGUACAAAGAAAUAAAAUUUUGUCAAUCAGUUAAUUCAUCAUAUCUUACAUGCAUCAAAUUUUACAUGCGUAAUAGUAAUAUAUGUAACUAUUAAAAAAAUAAAAAGAACAGAUAAAUAUAUGGAAAAUGAUCGUAUCUUGUGAACGAGUGGUAAUUUCUCGAAUAAUACGGUCCUGGGCAAGAAAGUGGCGCUUACGGUGCGCAGGAAGUUAACGCGCAUACGUCUUUACGCGCCGCUUAUGUUGCGUUCUCCUCUGUUUUUUUCCUAAAAGACGUCACAAAAAUCAACGUACUGAUACCAAAUUUCCCAAGUAUAAUCAAUAAGACACUCCCGCAAAGGUUUACGGAGUAUUACGAAGUAUGACGAUGUAUGACGAAGUAUGACGAGUUUAUAACGUCGGGUCGAUAAUUCAUUUUUGAAGUUACGACGAAUAAACCGUAUCCAGUCGUUUUACGAUAUUCAGCUUUUCCGUGCAGAAAACACUUGGAAAAAACAAAUCGUUCAAAUCUACACAACAUGAUGUUCACAUUGGGACGAUCGAUAUAUAUUUCGUAAAAAUAUUGUUUAAAGAAAGUUGCAACGAAAUGCAUCUGUACGUGGGAGUAUUAAUAAUUCUGGCGACCUUUGCCUGUGCUGAGAAUAUUCUAAUGACCGAGGUCUUUGUCAUACCUAUCAGACCGGAAACUUUCAAUUGGAAUCCAGAUGGAAAAUACGAUCAGUUUACGUAUCAACCGUCCUUGCUCAACGCUCCCGAUCUUCCGUCAUGGAUUCACUAUGUUCAUAGUAAAAGAGAUCACGGCGGAUUUCUUUAUGGUGUGGCACCCAAAAAUCAAAAAUAUUUUCAAUUGGAGAUUGUGGGCUUGAACAAACACACGUACGAGACGAAAUAUAAAGUGCUCGACAUCAACGUUCUUGAGAAACAAAAUUUAACGAGAUACGAGGUCAACUUAAAAAUCGAUAAUCUCAACGUGGAAGAUAUAUUUGGUCGUAAUCGUACCGAAAAACUUCUUCAUAUUUUCAGAAACAAACUUUGGACGACUGCAAUGGACUUAUAUGUCACUUUUCUUGCUUCUGCGGUCGAACUCGGAGCACGCUUACCCCUUAAACCUGGAGAAAGCGAGGGAGUCGUAAUGAGACUGGGUAGUUCGGUGCCGUUUUCACAAGAAUUGAUUGAACUUCAAGAAGAAGUAAAACCACUUUGGAAAUUAUUACCAUCCUGCCCAAGAGAUUUUAAAAGAACAAGCGUGGAAAGACUAUUCAGAGAAGCUGGCUUUUUAUUGGAUUGGUGUUCCUUCAGACUGAUCGAAAGCGACGAACAAAAUUUGCAACGAGAAAGUGCGAGACGCGGACCAAGUAUGAAUAUCGUUGGCUUACCAUCAUCUGGAAUUUCUGAACAUACCGAGUGGCAAUGGGCAAGAUCAACGAAAGCUGAUAUUCCUACGAGAAGUUAUUUCAAAGAAAUCGUUACGACGAUCUUCGUACCAACGAUAUUACUUCUUCUUUUGGCCACUUCUCUGAGUACAGCACUUUGUCUUCAUCGUGAUAAAAUUUAUGCAUAUUAUCCGUUUGCAUGCCAUUCUAUAGUCGCAAAAAAACAGAAUCCUCGUCGAUAGAAACAAUGAGCAAGAAUGGGGUGCAAAUGGUACAAUAUGUUGCUCCUGAAAGAGGUACUCUGAGAUCAUUAUCCGUACCACCUUCUAGUCCUAAUGACUCUUUAACACAUACACCAAGAAUUUCUAGUGAACGUUGUAAUCCAUAUAUUCGACCUAAUCCACCACCUUAUACUGGACCAAGCAAUUUUGCAGGUAUUAGAACAGACUUCUGACUGUACGAGGAGCCAGGAAAAACGUGGUUUUGCUAAACAAAUACAAUUAAAAUACGUUUGCGCUUUGGACAAAGAAAUUGCAAAAUCAUUGAAACUGGCUCCAUAAAUUAUAAUUAGUGCUUAAAUCAAUAAUAAAGUAGUAAGUUUAAUUAUAAGUGCGCUCUAUAUAUUUCAUUUAAAGGAGCCUCAUUCUAUGUAAAACUUACGAAAUGAUAAUCUUUUAGUAAUAGCAAAUAAAGUUGUUAUAAAAUUGUUUACA